rnacentral:rRNA from 1 species
AACAGGAUUAGAUACCCUGGUAGUCCACGCUGUAAACGAUGUCGACUUGGAGGUUGUGCCCUUGAGGCGUGGCUUCCGGAGCUAACGCGUUAAGUCGACCGCCUGGGGAGUACGGCCGCAAGGUUAAAACUCAAAUGAAUUGACGGGGGCCCGCACAAGCGGUGGAGCAUGUGGUUUAAUUCGAUGCAACGCGAAGAACCUUACCUACUCUUGACAUCCAGAGAAUUUGCUAGAGAUAGCUUAGUGCCUUCGGGAACUCUGAGACAGGUGCCGCAUGGCCGUCGUCAGCUCGUGUUGUGAAAUGUUGGGUUAAGUCCCGCAACGAGCGCAACCCUUAUCCUUUGUUGCCAGCACGUAAUGGUGGGAACUCAAAGGAGACUGCCGGUGAUAAACCGGAGGAAGGUGGGGAUGACGUCAAGUCAUCAUGGCCCUUACGAGUAGGGCUACACACGUGCUACAAUGGCAUAUACAAAGAGAAGCGAACUCGCGAGAGCAAGCGGACCUCAUAAAGUAUGUCGUAGUCCGGAUUGGAGUCUGCAACUCGACUCCAUGAAGUCGGAAUCGCUAGUAAUCGUAGAUCAGAAUGCUACGGUGAAUACGUUCCCGGGCCUUGUACACACCGCCCGUCACACCAUGGGAGUGGGUUGCAAAAGAAGUAGGUAGCUUAACCUUCGGGAGGGCGCUUACCACUUUGUGAUUCAUGACUGGGGUGAAGUCGUAACAAGGUAACC